GACGAACGCUGGCGGCGUGCUUAACACAUGCAAGUUGAACGGAAAGGCCCCUUCGGGGGUACUCGAGUGGCGAACGGGUGAGUAACACGUGAGUAACCUGCCCUUGACUUCGGGAUAACUUCAGGAAACUGGGGCUAAUACCGGAUAGGAAUCCUUGCUGCAUGGUGGGGGUUGGAAAGCUUCGGCGGUUUUGGAUGGACUCGCGGCUUAUCAGCUUGUUGGUGGGGUAGUGGCUUACCAAGGCUUUGACGGGUAGCCGGCCUGAGAGGGCGACCGGCCACAUUGGGACUGAGAUACGGCCCAGACUCCUACGGGAGGCAGCAGUGGGGAAUAUUGCACAAUGGGCGGAAGCCUGAUGCAGCAACGCCGCGUGCGGGAUGACGGCCUUCGGGUUGUAAACCGCUUUCAGCAGGGGCGAAGCUUGUGGUGACGGUACCUGCAGAAGAAGCACCGGCUAACUACGU
rnacentral:rRNA from 1 species